GACAGAGGGUGCAAACGUUGUUCGGAAUUACUGGGCGUAAAGCGCGUGUAGGCGGCCAUCUAAGUCGGGCGUGAAAUCCCACGGCUCAACCGUGGAAGUGCACUCGAAACUGGAUGGCUAGAGUCCUGGAGAGGAAGGUGGAAUGCUUGGUGUAGAGGUGAAAUUCGUAGAUAUCAAGCGGAACACCGGUGGCGAAGGCGGCCUUCUGGGCAGUGACUGACGCUGAGACGCGAAAGCGUGGGGAGCAAACAGG
rnacentral:rRNA from 1 species